AUUGAACGCUGGCGGCAGGCUUAACACAUGCAAGUCGAGCGGAGAUGAGGUGCUUGCACCUUAUCUUAGCGGCGGACGGGUGAGUAAUGCUUAGGAAUCUGCCUAUUAGUGGGGGACAACAUUCCGAAAGGAAUGCUAAUACCGCAUACGCCCUACGGGGGAAAGCAGGGGAUCUUCGGACCUUGCGCUAAUAGAUGAGCCUAAGUCGGAUUAGCUAGUCGGUGGGGUAGAGGCCUACCAAGGCGACGAUCUGUAGCGGGUCUGAGAGGAUGAUCCGCCACACUGGGACUGAGACACGGCCCAGACUCCUACGGGAGGCAGCAGUGGGGAAUAUUGGACAAUGGGCGGAAGCCUGAUCCGGCCAUGCCGCGUGUGUGAAGAAGGCCUUUUGGUUGUAAAGCACUUUAAGCGAGGAGGAGGCUACCUGGAUUAAUACUCUAGGAUAGUGGACGUUACUCGCAGAAUAAGCACCGGCUAACUCUGUGCCAGCCGCCGCCGUAAAAC
rnacentral:rRNA from 1 species